CCCUUAGAUGUCCGGGGCUGCACGCGCGCUACACUGAAGGAAUCAGCGUGCUAGAAAACCUUGUUUGACAUGGCUAGGUAACCCGUUGAAAAUCUUUCGUGAUUGGGAUCGGGACUUGCAAAUGUGUCCCUUGAACGAGGAAUUCCCAGUAAGUGCGGGUCAUAAGCUCGCGCUGAUUACGUCCCUGCCCUUUGUACACACCGCCCGUCGCUGCCCGGAACUGAGCCGUUUCGAGAAGACUGGGGACUGCGAACUUUGGGCUGGAAAACAGCUUUUUGUUUGUGGAAACCACCUUAAUCGCAGCGGCUUGAACCGGGCAAAAGUCGUAACA
rnacentral:rRNA from 1 species